AUUGAACGCUGGCGGCAGGCCUAACACAUGCAAGUCGAGCGGAUGAAGGGAGCUUGCUCCUGGAUUCAGCGGCGGACGGGUGAGUAAUGCCUAGGAAUCUGCCUGGUAGUGGGGGAUAACGUCCGGAAACGGGCGCUAAUACCGCAUACGUCCUGAGGGAGAAAGUGGGGGAUCUUCGGACCUCACGCUAUCAGAUGAGCCUAGGUCGGAUUAGCUAGUUGGUGGGGUAAAGGCUACCAAGGCGACGAUCCGUAACUGGUCUGAGAGGAUGAUCAGUCACACUGGAACUGAGACACGGUCCAGACUCCUACGGGAGGCAGCAGUGGGGAAUAUUGGACAAUGGGCGAAAGCCUGAUCCAGCCAUGCCGCGUGUGUGAAGAAGGUCUUCGGAUUGUAAAGCACUUUAAGUUGGGAGGAAGGGCAGUAAGUUAAUACCUUGCUGUUUUGACGUUACCAACAGAAUA
rnacentral:rRNA from 1 species